rnacentral:lncRNA from 1 species
GGUGUUGAUUUAAUUGAUGAUAUAUUAAAAUUUUUCUAAUUAUCACCCUGCUUUGGCCAAAGACUUCUGAAUCAACGACCUAUGAGACUACAUAGAAUGUUUGCUCUCCUUAUUAAGAGUGACUGAUCCCUUAUUGAUCUACACUCUUUACUAUGUCCAGAAUACUCCACACAAGGAUCAGAGAAUUAAGUAGGUAGUGAACCAAAAUAUGGAUCCAAGUACAUAAGGUACCAUGGUGAUCUCAGGUCUAAGGAUCACAUACAUAACUCCCACUAGAGAACAUCA